rnacentral:rRNA from 1 species
AGAGUUUGAUCCUGGCUCAGAACGAACGCUGGCGGCGCGUUUUAAGCAUGCAAGUCGAACGGUAGUACUCCUUCGGGGGUAUGAGAGUGGCGAACGGGUGAGUAACACGUAGAUAAUCUGCCUUGAGGUUGGGGAUAGCCUGUGGAAACACAGGGUAAUACCGAAUAAGCCCUACGGGGGAAAGGUGCUAAGGCACCGCCUUAAGAUGAGUCUGCGGCUCAUUAGCUGGUUGGUGGGGUAAAGGCCUACCAAGGCGACGAUGAGUAGCCGGCCUGAGAGGGUGGACGGCCACACUGGGACUGAGACACGGCCCAGACUCCUACGGGAGGCAGCAGCUAAGAAUCUUCCGCAAUGGGCGAAAGCCUGACGGAGCGACGCCGCGUGAACGAUGAAGGCCGUGAGGUUGUAAAGUUCUUUUCUUACUGAAGAAUAAUUCCAGGAGGGAAUGCCUGGGAGAUGACGUUAGGUAAGGAAUAAGCCCCGGCUAGUUACGUGCCAGCAGCCGCGGUAACACGUAAGGGGCAAGCGUUGUUCGGAAUUAUUGGGCGUAAAGGGCGUGUAGGCGGUUUUGCAAGUCUGGUGUGAAAUACUGCAGCUUAACUGCAGAGACGCGCUGGAAACUGUGAGACUAGAGUACUGGAGGGGGACAUGGAAUUCCUGGUGUAGGGGUGUAAUCUGUAGAUAUCAGGAAGAACACCGGUGGCGAAGGCGAUGUCCUGGCCAAGUACUGACGCUGAGGCGCGAAAGCGUGGGGAGCGAACAGGAUUAGAUACCCUGGUAGUCCACGCCGUAAACGAUGUGCACUAGGUGCCUGGGGGUAGCUCUGGGUGCCGUAGCUAACGCGUUAAGUGCACCGCCUGGGGAGUAUGCUCGCAAGGGUGAAACUCAAAGGAAUUGACGGGGGCCCGCACAAGCGGUGGAGCAUGUGGUUUAAUUCGAUAUACGCGAGAAACCUUACCAGGGCUUGACAUAUAUACGACGGUUGUAGAGAUACAGCUUCCCUUCGGGGCGUAUAUACAGGUGCUGCAUGGCUGUCGUCAGCUCGUGCUGUGAAGUGUUGGGUUAAGUCCCGCAACGAGCGCAACCCUUGUCUUUAGUUACCAUCAUUCAGUUGGGGACUCUAAAGAUACUGCCCCGGUCAACGGGGAGGAAGGUGGGGAUGACGUCAAGUCCUCAUGGCCUUUAUGUCCAGGGCUACACACGUGCUACAAUGGCCGGUACA